UUUAGAUUAUUUGCGAAAUAGAAGCCUAAACGUAUAUAUAAGCUUCAAGAGUUGAAUGUCAUUAUAUAUUGAAUAAAUCUUAUAUAUCUACAGCCAUUAUAGACGGGAUUGGGGAAGACUGUAGUGCAGACUGUGUCCGCUAUAGGGGUGGAGUGGAAAGAUGUGGUUUUCAGUCAGAGAUCGGAGACAUUUUUUGUUUAAAUGGUUGUGUCGACGGAAUAUGGGGUCAAAGAUGUCAUAAUCGAUGCCCCGGAAAUUGCUCCUCUUGUGAUCCAAGUCUGCUAAAACCGUGUUCCGGCUGCCUAGAUACAUUUUAUGACAAAGAUAAUUUAUGCAAUAAGUCGUGCUCGGUAGGAUGCAAGGAUGGACUUUGUUUAGAUAGCGGCACUUGCAAUUGUAGUUCUAAUUUUGAGGGGACGCAUUGUGACUAUUGUAUUGAAGGCAAAUAUGGAUCUAGUUGCGCCUUCAACUGUCUCCAUCAAAAAUGUCGGUAUACAGAUGAGACGGAAUGCGAUCGUUGUAAACCUGGAUUUUUCAAUACCACAUCGUUUUGCGUAACACCUUGCUCAAUUGGGUGUAUAAACGUUUCUUGUAACAAUGAUGGUAAUUGUGCAUGUCGCGAAUCUUUUACAGGAAGCAGAUGCACGGACUGUAUUUUUGGAAUAUAUGGGGUACACUGUAACAGACUGUGUUCCAAGGGAUGUUUUAGCGCAUCUUGUUUGAGAAAUGGAACAUGUUCUUUGUGUUAUCCUGGAUAUUACGGAGAUGGGUGUCAUGAACUAUGUUCUACUGGAUGUGUUGAUGAAGUUUGUAUGAGGAAUGGAACAUAUCAGGAAUGUAUUGCUGGCUAUUAUGGAGAUCAUUGCAAUGUUAAAUGCUUGAAUGGAUGCGUUCAUGAAGUUUGUAUAAGGAAUGGAACAUGUCUCGAAUGUAUUGAUGGCUAUUACGGAGAUCGAUGCAAUGCUAAAUGUUCUCAAGGGUGCGCUGAUGGAAAUUGCAUAAGAGAUGGUUUGUGCACGAAAUGCAUUUCAGACUUUUACGGAGAAAACUGCAACAUAUCGUGUAAACAAGGAGCUUUUUUCAGGAAUAACACAUACAACUGCAUAGAUAACAUUGCGGGUUUUGGAACUCAUGAAACUGAAACAGAUGGAAGGAGCGCUGGCCUUGUCGUAGGAGCAACAUUUAUUGGACUUGUGGCUGGACUUAUCAUUUCUUUGGUUGGAGAAUACAUCUGGAAACAACAAUCUUACCGUUUCAACUGAACAAGACUAUGAGCGGUUAGUUCAGGACCAAAGAAGAAACAGUCUUGAACUGACGGCGUACGACAUGUGUGAAACUACUUCUGUCCAACAUGGCCCGAGCGAAGAUGCGCAUAAUGAGUCCAAUGAGGAUAACCACAAUUAACGAAUAAAGAAUGGCACAACUUAUACAUCGGUGGAUAUCGGUGGAUAUCGAAAGCUGAUCGCUGCACUUUUUACAAUAUACGCACUUUUUGUAAUAUUCUGUUAAUGCAAAUCGUUCAAAUUGUUCAAAACUCUCGUUAAGGAUUAAACGUUUGCCAUCAGCGUUAUAAAUAUAAAAAAUAAGUGUCAUCGUUUCAAUUUCAUUACCUCUUAACGGUGCCAAACAUCAGAUACCGUCAGUGUAAGUUUUGGACAAUUUGGCAUUUAAAUUAAAAUCUUUCAACAGCUAGUUAGGCAGAUAGACUCAAUGAAGUGCUUGGAUUUUUUUAACCGUGGAUACAAUGGUAAUACUUUGAAGAGUACUUGCUUUCUUGAUUUUGAUAAUGAAUUCCUCAAACACAAUAUAAGGUUAAAUAUUGCGUCCUAAAAUAACAAAACUUUCAGUGCUUUGAUUCAGAUUCAUGUUAUCUUUAAAUCCGUUUUUAUUCCGAUCGUUAGAGAUGUUCCAGCGAGUGACGUCUCUUUCUUUAAAUAUAUUACUUAGGUUAAUAUUUGGAAGAAACAUUUAGCUAAUACAUGUCGAUUUUGUUUUUGUAUAAU